CAGGCAGAAAGCUAAUUGCUAUGCUAAACUGUAGGUUGCAUUAUUAGAUCAUAUUAUUAUUGGUAUUAAGCUUUGUAAUAAUUGACAGUUUUGAAAUGAGGGGAACCUAUGUAAAGUAAAUGUGAGGAAGGACGUUAAGGUUAUGGUUUGUAUCAUAUAAUGUAUUGUA